UUUCUUGCGCAUCCUCUUUACUCUUCUCUAAAACACUCUUCUUUGCAACUCGCUUUCCCCUUCUAUUCCAGAUUUUUUUUUUUUUCCUUUGAGUUCUCUUCCUUUUCUUUGGUUUGCUGUUUACUUGGGGUCAGAAUAGGGGAUAAUGGUGGAAAUGACAGUUCAUUCUUUCUCUGAGGUCACCUCACCGGACUUCUCAUAGUAUAUCAAUCAGUCCCAUUUUUCCGACGACAGUGCUCUAGUAUUCUAGCGACGUCUUGAGUUGAUGAGAAGAAAGUUUAAUUACUGAAAAAAAGCACGGAGAUAUAGAUGGAGAGGGUGACAAGAAGAUCAGUUUCUUUGUUCGUAUGGAGUGUGAUUGUUGUAUCCGCAGCUUUUCGCCCUUCAAAGAGUACUACUGUGUCAGCGGCAGUGUCGACAACCAUCACCAUAGCAAGUAGGAAUGUGGAUGAUGGGGGCAACACCUCCAAUAUUGCCGUAGAAGAAGUUGACGAAAUGAUGUACAUCAAGUCUUCCUUCCAAUAUUCCAAAGAAAUUCUGAAGACCUGGAUACCCAAAUCCGAUCCAUGUGAUUUUGCAUGGGUUGCUUGUUUAGGCGGUUCAGUGAGUAGCAUGUUAGUAC